rnacentral:rRNA from 1 species
ACGGGAGGCAGCAGUGGGGAAUAUUGCACAAUGGGGGAAACCCUGAUGCAGCGACGCCGCGUGAGUGAAGAAGUAUUUCGGUAUGUAAAGCUCUAUCAGCAGGAAAGAAAAUGACGGUACCUGACUAAGAAGCCCCGGCUAACUACGUGCCAGCAGCCGCGGUAAUACGGAAGGUCCGAGCGUUAUCCGGAUUUAUUGGGUUUAAAGGGAGCGCAGGCGGAGUGAUAAGCCAGCCGUAAAAUAGUCGGGCUCAACCCGAUCCCGCGGUUGGAACUGUCGCCCUUGAGUGCGGGAGAGGAAGGCGGAACUCGUGGUGUAGCGGUGAAAUGCAUAGAUAUCACGAAGAACUCCGAUCGCGAAGGCAGCUUUCCGGCCCGUAACUGACGCUGAGGCUCGAAGGCGCGGGUAUCAAACAGGAUUAGAUACCCUGGUA